AUUUCUUGUUGUUCAUGGAUGCAGUCAGAUUGUUGCCUUAUUGGAAGGCUUAGCCUCUGCAGCUAAGUUUCUACACUGACUUGGGACCACAAUGUAAUGAUGUGUGUAGGUUAACUGAUGUUUUAACUUUUAGUUUCCUCUUUGCAGUAGAAUUGUGGUGUAUAAUAUCCUGUGCUGUCUUUCUGCCCCUGACAAAGCAAAGGAAGAAUGCACUAGAAUGACUGAAAUGACUGAAUCAGCGUGGAAGUAAAACUGUAGUUUCCCGAGACAUCCCAGGAACUGUUUUUCAAACUGAAACCACACCUUUGGUAAUCAUCCAUUUAAGGCCAGGUAUGGCAGCUUCACAAUUUGAAAAUGGACCACAUGUGGCAGCGGGGCACAUUGGGCCACACCAGCCAGUUCCUCAGCCCAACCCUGGCACAUGGCACCCAGUGCAUGGACCCGAAGGAUCAGGGCCCCAUCUAACCGAUCAUCAGCCCCAUCCUCAUGUGCACCAGUCUCGACCCUACUUCUAUGUGCAGCCCCCUCCUCCUCUCCCCCUCUACCACUACCAGUGGCCCAUGCCCUACAACCCCUGCUCUGGAAUUCCAGG
ensembl:lncRNA